CCCAAAAUUUUGUUUGUGGGAUUCCUAUGGGUUUCUGGUUGACUAUUGUAGGAAGCAAGAGAUUAAAUAUCUAGCCCUAAUGUCUGAUCAGACAGGGCUGUCCUUACAUUGUUAUUGUAAUGCUGGUAUUAAAUUCCUGAAAACCGAUAGCCAAAUGAGGAUAGCAUAAUUCUGGGGCAACUGUCAAUUGUGCUUCCUUUCAUUUUCCUAGCUGGCCAAGGGCACUCUGGAAGCUUGAUUCAUACAACACAAUGGAGCACAGAAGAGGUGGUGGUGUGUUACGUAUCUUGGAAUACAGCCAUUUUAAUAAGCAUUUAAUGAUCAGUCAUCAGAAACUGCCUGGGCUAGACACCAGAACCUCUGAGGCAUGCAAGCAAAACUUGGAUUUGUUUUUUUGUUUUGUUUUUAUGUUUUCCCCUUCCAGCCAUUUAUAUUAGGAUAUGAUGGAUGCAUAUAACAAACUUCGAUCAGCCCGAUGUUCAGUGGUCUAACCCAUGGGGAAGAGAAGCUGCCUUUCUGCUCUUUGGUCAUUCCUGGCUUUGUACCACAGAGAGCUACCAGAACUGCCACCAAACCUCAGCAGUACCACUGGGGGAAGAAGACAGCCAUGAACUGUUUAGGAAACUUGCUAAGCUGGAGCUUUACAAAGAUAUCUUUAAUAACAUUCUACCUUUGAGGGAAUCAUUGUAGAGCUGUAUUUGAAUGUGGCUAGAUGAUUUCUUUUUGUUUCCCUUUUUGUCUUUAUACAGUGUUUGUUAAUGUUAUAUUGCUAUUUAUUGUUGACUACAUGUAGUUUCGCGAUCUUUUUCGUUCACUGCUCGGAGUAACUAAGAUGGGCAGUA
rnacentral:lncRNA from 1 species